UACCUGGUUGAUUCUGCCAGUAGUC
rnacentral:ncRNA from 6 species